rnacentral:rRNA from 1 species
CACGUAGGGUGCGAGCGUUGUCCGGAAUUAUUGGGCGUAAAGAGCUCGUAGGCGGUGUGUCGCGUCGGCCGUGAAAACCUGCAGCUUAACUGUGGGCUUGCGGUCGAUACGGGCAUCACUGGAGUUCGGCAGGGGAGACUGGAAUUCCUGGUGUAGCGGUGAAAUGCGUAGAUAUCGGGAGGAACACCAGUGGCGAAGGCGACUACCUGGCCUGUUCUUGACGCUGAGGCGCGAAAGCUAGGGGAGCAAACGGG